rnacentral:rRNA from 1 species
UUUUGUAAUAUAAAGUAAUAUUAAAUAAAAAAACUAAUUAAAUAUGACAGUCAUCAACUAUUUAAAGGAACUUGUUUUUUAAUCGAUAAUACACGCUAACUUUCACUUACAUAAAAAUUUUAUAUACCGCCGUUAAACAGAAAAUUUAAACAUAAAUUAUCCUCUCUUACUAUUUAAAAAAAAUCAGGUCAAGGUGUAACCCAUAUGUAAGCUAAAAUUAGUUACUAAUUAAAAACACUAAUCCACUAUUAAUUUAAAUAUUAAUAUAAUAAGAAUUUAUAAUCAAAUUUUUACUACACUAAUAAAUUGAAAACUUUUUCUAUGAUGU